UCAGGAUGAACGCUGGCGGCGCGCCUAACACAUGCAAGUCGAACGGCACCCCUCUCCGGAGGGAAGCGAGUGGCGAACGGCUGAGUAACACGUGGAGAACCUGCCCCCUCCCCCGGGAUAGCCGCCCGAAAGGACGGGUAAUACCGGAUACCCCCGGGCGCCGCAUGGCGCCCGGGCUAAAGCCCCGACGGGAGGGGAUGGCUCCGCGGCCCAUCAGGUAGACGGCGGGGUGACGGCCCACCGUGCCGACAACGGGUAGCCGGGUUGAGAGACCGACCGGCCAGAUUGGGACUGAGACACGGCCCAGACUCCUACGGGAGGCAGCAGUGGGGAAUCUUGCGCAAUGGGGGGAACCCUGACGCAGCGACGCCGCGUGCGGGACGGAGGCCUUCGGGUCGUAAACCGCUUUCAGCAGGGAAGAGUCAAGACUGUACCUGCAGAAGAAGCCCCGGCUAACUACGUGCCAGCAGCCGCGGUAAUACGUAGGGGGCGAGCGUUAUCCGGAUUCAUUGGGCGUAAAGCGCGCGUAGGCGGCCCGGCAGGCCGGGGGUCGAAGCGGGGGGCUCAACCCCCCGAAGCCCCCGGAACCUCCGCGGCUUGGGUCCGGUAGGGGAGGGUGGAACACCCGGUGUAGCGGUGGAAUGCGCAGAUAUCGGGUGGAACACCGGUGGCGAAGGCGGCCCUCUGGGCCGAGACCGACGCUGAGGCGCGAAAGCUGGGGGAGCGAACAGGAUUAGAUACCCUGGUAGUCCCAGCCGUAAACGAUGGACGCUAGGUGUGGGGGGACGAUCCCCCCGUGCCGCAGCCAACGCAUUAAGCGUCCCGCCUGGGGAGUACGGCCGCAAGGCUAAAACUCAAAGGAAUUGACGGAA
rnacentral:rRNA from 1 species